UUGAGCUUUCUCCUUGAGCUAUUUGAGUUCGUCACUUUUGUCGGAUUUGGUUUGCCCCCGAUUUGGUUCGCAAGCUAUUUUCUAAUUUUUAGUGCUAGGUAUCAAAUUAUCGAGAGUGAAAUUUAUUUAUAAAAUUAAUCAGUGAGCGAAUCCAGGGAAUGGCCAGAGAAGUUUCGUCCUCAAGAAGCAGCCACCACAUUAUUCACUGAUGCUGCUGCUGCUAGUGGUGGUGGUGGUGGCCGU
rnacentral:misc_RNA from 1 species